UCAAAAUGAACAAAAGGAGACUAGUUUCUUCUUCUCCUUCACGACGACUGUAAUCUUUCUCAAAAUAGGCUAUGUCGAUCCAAGGUAUAAAUAUUAUUAUUUCUGUUAAGCACUUCUCAUUCUGUGAUAAUCAAAGUUAAGUUGGAUCUGUUAAUAAGUAGGAAUCUGAUUAAAUUUUAUCCUUUCGCAUGAUUGAUUGAUUGUAGGAUGAGAAAUUGGAAUAUUUCAUUAUUAUUGGGUUAGGGUUUAGGGUUUUGAGAUAAAGAAAAAUUAAAGUUAAGUCAUUAUUGUUCUUCCUGGAAGUUGUUAGUUCUCCAUAUCUUCUGAUGGGAAAUCAGUGUUAACCUUCUGGUUUCGUGAGAUUGGGAAAUUGGGAAUCGCGAGGAAGGGGGGUUUAAUCCGAUUUCAUUGUUGAUGAAGAUUGGCAAAGAAUAGAUGGAUUCAGUGGAGGGUGAUAACUCGUUCGCCACUCUUGCUUUUAUGGAGCUUGCAGAAGGAUGGACAUUCAAAGAAAGAAAUUGGAGUCAGAUUUUCGAAGUGUCAUCUCUAUGUUACAUGUGAACCUUAUAUCAUGUGUGCAGCAGCUAUAUCAAUUCUUGGUAUGAAUGCUGUAUACUAUGGUUGUGCUAAUGAUAACUUCGGAGGCUGUGGAUCAAUCUUGUCAUUACAUUCUAGAAACACUGAGCACUUACUUAGUGGCGGUGCUUCGGAAAUGAAAGGCUGGUUUACAUGUAAAGGAGGAGUAAUGGCAUCCGAAGCUGUCUCUCUUUUUCGGAGUUUCUAUGAGCAAGGAAAUCCCAAUGCACCAAAACCUCACAGGCCAGUUCAGGUACCUCAGUGAUUUCACUUAGCUCUGGCGUAUAAUCUUGAUUUGUAAUAUGCCAACACCAACACUGGAACUUUUUGCUUGCUCCUUUGCUGCUGUCAUUCCCAAGUCUCCGAUAAACAGCAAAAUACAUAUUUUUCUAUCACACACAGCAGCCGAGCUGGGUUGGUUUGUUUUGGGGGGAAAAGGAUCAGUCAGUUGGAAACUUGGAUUUGAGAAGAUCUGCUGACUUAUUACACCCUUUCUGCUUAGAAGGCUCAGACUAUGAUUAAUCUAACACCUGCUUCAUAUCAAGUUAUGUCAUGCAAAAAUCUCCUUUUGAUUUUGAUGGAUAUCUUACCAUGGCAAGAUGAAAACUUGAAGGGCUGGUUUUCAUGUUUUCAGAUAGCAUUCUAUUGCAAAUUCUGGCUUGUGCAAUAUACAGUAACUGGUCGCCAGAGUUGGCAGCUCUCAUGUUCAUGAUGGUGCCUAUGCCUUGUUUAUAUUUUGGCGGUGGAUCACUGCAUUCUUAACCAGCCGUGAUGGAGGAGGGAUGCUCUCUGGUUGUCUUUAGUGUUGUACGAUGUACUUUUGUAUGGCAGAUAUGUCGGACUUCGGUAAGGCGGUCAAGCUUUUGGGUGCUUGUGAAGGAAAACCACUUGGCAAGUCAUUUACAGACCUCGGAACGAAAUCCAAAGUACUGUCAGUUAAGUUGGAGAAAGAGGCAACCAUCAGACAGAGAGCCAAUGUCUUCAAGCACCAAUGAACUGGCUGAAGCAAUAAAACUGAAGGAGAUAAUAACCUUGACAAACUGACGCCGACUCAGUCUGAGAAAGUACGAGAAGCAGAGAUUGAAUGCCACACAUAAGUUUCUGACUGAGUUUUGGGUUACCAUGGGUGUUCCACAGUGAUACCUGUUACAUCCCAACAACGUGGUUAAUGUGGAUUAUCUGUUUUGGUUGAAGGCGGAGGGUGAAAGAAGCAACAAGAAAAUUUGAGAUGAUAGUGGUGUGUGGCUAAUGAGCCAAGUUGUUCUUUUUUGACAGCAGAAAACAUCAGAUUUGGGCCUUGCUUUCCAUGAAUUUGCUAAAGGCUACGCGCAUCUUGCAAAUGAGGUCGCUAAUUGGCUGGCGUAGUCUCCUACCUAAGCUGGAAGCUUGUUCUUCUGCGCAGACAUGGUUUUCAGUGAUUUAAGUACUUGCUGAUUGUAGUGAAAACAAAGGGGAAACAAUUCUUGAGUUAAUAGUCUUAGAAACUUCAGUUCACAUUUUAAUUUGAAUUCAGUACAGGUUUGAUAAAACUUUGAAUCUGUUAAACUGUCCUUUACAGAUGAAACCUCACAAUGA